GGAGGGGUGGCAGAGCGGUUGAAUGCAGCGGUCUUGAAAACCGCAUCCCGACCCGUCGGGACGGGGGUUCGAAUCCCUCCCCCUCCGCCA
rnacentral:tRNA from 1 species